UUCUCAUCAGAAAAUUAGAGUUGUAAAGUCAUACCGAUCAAAUGCCAUCAAAAUUGUGUAUAUAUACAAGCACAAAUAACCUUAAUAAAAUUCUUCUGACCAGCUUCAUUGGAGUGAAUUUCAGAUUUUCCAACUCAGCAGGCCUAUGCUAAUACUCUUGUA